GUGGGGAAUAUUGGACAAUGGGCGAAAGUCUGAACCAGCCAUGCCGCGUGAAGGAUGAAGGCCCUCUGGGUUGUAAACUUCUUUUAUCUGGGACGAAAAAAGGGUAUUCUUACUCACUUGACGGUACCAGAGGAAUAAGCACCGGCUAACUCCGUGCCAGCAGCCGCGGUAAUACGGAGGGUGCAAGCGUUAUCCGGAUUCACUGGGUUUAAAGGGUGCGUAGGUGGGUAUUUAAGUCAGUGGUGAAAUCUCCGAGCUUAACUCGGAAACUGCCAUUGAUACUAUUUACCUUGAAUGCCCUGGAGGUAAGCGGAAUAUGUCAUGUAGCGGUGAAAUGCUUAGAUAUGACAUAGAACACCAAUUGCGAAGGCAGCUUACUACGGGGUGAUUGACACUGAGGCACGAAAGCGUGGGGAGCAAACAGGAUUAGAAACCCCAGUAGUCC
rnacentral:rRNA from 1 species